rnacentral:ncRNA from 1 species
GCUCCCGCUCCGGGGUGCACCCGGGCCGUCAGCGAAUGUCCGCAGACGGCUCGUGUGCUGAGAUGGCGCCUUCUGGCCCGAACCCGCUGAACUUGACCCGGCUCGUACCGGCGUAAGAAGAGCUCGCACCCAAGGC